UCCCUGGUGGUCCAGUGGUUAGGACUUUGCGCUUCUACUGCAGAGGGCCCGGAUUCGAUCCCUGGUCAGGGAA